rnacentral:rRNA from 1 species
UACGUAGGGUGCGAGCGUUAAUCGGAAUUACUGGGCGUAAAGCGUGCGCAGGCGGUUGUGUAAGACAGGCGUGAAAUCCCCCGGGCUCAACCUGGGAAUGGCGCUUGUGACUGCACGGCUGGAGUGCGGCAGAGGGGGAUGGAAUUCCGCGUGUAGCAGUGAAAUGCGUAGAUAUGCGGAGGAACACCGAUGGCGAAGGCAAUCCCCUGGGCCUGCACUGACGCUCAUGCACGAAAGCGUGGGGAGCAAACAGGAUUAGAUCCCGUAUC